rnacentral:rRNA from 1 species
CCCCCACACUGGUACUGAGACACGGACCAGACUCCUACGGGAGGCAGCAGUGAGGAAUAUUGGACAAUGGGCGCAAGCCUGAUCCAGCCAUGCCGCGUGCAGGAAGAAGCAUCUAUGGUGUGUAAACUGCUUUUGUACGGGAAGAAAAAACAUUACGAGUAAUGUACUGACGGUACCGUAAGAAUAAGGAUCGGCUAACUCCGUGCCAGCAGCCGCGGUAAUACGGAGGAUCCAAGCGUUAUCCGGAAUGAUUGGGUUUAAAGGGUCCGUAGGCGGCCUUAUAAGUCAGCGGUGAAAGUUUUUGGCUUAACCAAAAAAUUGCCAUUGAUACUGUAGGGCUUGAAUGUUUGUGAAGUAACUAGAAUAUGUAGUGUAGCGG